ensembl:lncRNA
UCUCUCUCUCUCUCUCUGUGUAGGAGUUGUUAGACUAAUCAUAACCAUGUCUCUCUCGCUCUCUCUCUGUGUAGGAGUUGUUAGACUAAUCAUAACCAUGUCUCUCUCUCUAGUCUCUGUGUAGGAGUUGGUUAGACUAAUCAUACCGUGUCUCUCUCUCUCUCUCUCUCUCUCUCUCUGUGUAGGAGUUGUUAGACUAAUCAUAACCAUGUCUCUCUCUCUCUAGUCUCUGUGUAGGAGUUGUUAGACUAAUCAUAACCAUGUCUCUCUCUCCCUCUAGUCUCUGUGUAGGAGUUGUUAGACUAAUCUAACCGUGUCUCUCUCUCUCUCUCUCUUCUGUGUAGGAAGUGUUAGACUAAUCAUAACCAAUGUCUCUCUCUCUCUCAGUCUCUGUGUAGGAGUUGUUAGACUAAUCAAAACCGUCUCUCUCGCUCUAGUCUCUGUGUAGGAGUUGUUAGACUAAUCAUAACCAUGUCUCUCUCGGUGUAGGAGUUGUUAGAGGAGACAAGUCGUAAGCAUGUCCAGAAGACUGCGUGUCAGAGAAUAGGCCGUGUGCUGGUACAUGUUCUGGCCUGGUUCAUCUGUAUCGGCAGUACAGUGGCCUGUGUUCUAGCUCUCUACUACUUCUCUGAGUACAUGCACAAGGUAAUCCAGGAUAGUAGAUCUCGUAUUCCCACUAAGGACCCUCUCCUGAAGGAAGCCAGUCUGUUGGCCCUGCCAGUCGUAGUGUCUCUCAUCAACCUCCUGCUCCCUGGCAUCUUCAACGCUACUGCCUGGAUGGAGAGUACGACUCGCCCAGCGUAAACACAUACAUCGCCAUCAGCAGGGUAGGGGGUGGGCCUGCAGUCCACAAACUGUGUGUGUGUGUGUGUGUGUGUGUGUGUGGAGCACUAUGACUCCCCCAGCGUAAACACAUACAUCGCCAUCAGCAGGUAGGGGGGUGGACCUGCAGUCCACAAACGUGUGGUGUGUGGAG